CGACGAUCACUAAACCGGCUUCUCGGUUUUUUAUCCCAAUACUUUAUUCGCCGACGGCAGUCAACGUAAUUCCACCGAAACGAAUAGGUUGGCAUUGGUCAUUGAGCUUGUCUAUGGUCAUUGAGAGGGAGUAAACGAUCGGUGUCAAAACAACCGACCGAAGUAGCUAACUGAAUUUACCAUAGACAUGGACAUGUCUAUGGAACUUAGUUUAAAACAAUUUAAUUGUUUUAUUAACAAAGAAAAACGAUAUAUUCCAGUAACAUACUUUAGAGUAGUGGGGGAAAAAAUAUAAGUAUUUGAAUAGUAAACAAUCAGUGCGCCUGCUCAAUAAUCAGGUGGAUGUUAUUGUGAAGUGCGGAUGUUAUUAAACAACUAUUUAUCUAAUGGAGGCUUAGGUUUACUAGACUUGCGAUGACCACUGUGACCUUUCUUAUCAUCUUCUGGAUCAAUUACACGUAAUGCCUCUUCA